AUUGAACGCUGGCGGCAGGCCUAACACAUGCAAGUCGAGCGCGAAAGUCUUCGGAUGAGUAAAGCGGCGGACGGGUGAGUAAUGCAUGGGAAUCUGCCUGGUAGUGGGGGACAACGUUUCGAAAGAGACGCUAAUACCGCAUACGCCCUACGGGGGAAAGGGGGGGAUCUUCGGACCUCUCGCUAUCAGAUGAGCCCAUGUCAGAUUAGCUAGUUGGUAGGGUAAAGGCCUACCAAGGCGACGAUCUGUAACUGGUCUGAGAGGAUGAUCAGUCACACUGGAACUGAGACACGGUCCAGACCCCUACGGAAGGCAGCAGUGGGGAAUAGUGGACAAUGGGGGAAACCCUGAUCCAGCCAUGCCGCGUGUGUGAAGAAGGCCCUAGGGUUGUAAAGCACUUUCAGUGGGGAGAAAGGUUAUUCACCUAAUACGUGAGUAAAUUGAUGCUACCCACAGAAGAAGCACCGGCUAACUCCGUGCCAGCAGCCGCAGUAA
rnacentral:rRNA from 1 species